rnacentral:rRNA from 1 species
CCUACGGGUGGCAGCAGUGGGGAAUCUUGCGCAAUGGGAGCAAUCCUGACGCAGCGACGCCGCGUGCGGGAGGAAGGUCUUCGGACUGUAAACCGCUGUCAGCGGGGACGAACCCCUGGGGGAGGCAAUGCCCUCAGGCUGACGGUACCCGCAGAGGAAGCACCGGCUAACUCCGUGCCAGCAGCCGCGGUAAUACGGAGGGUGCGAGCGUUGUUCGGAAUUAUUGGGCGUAAAGCGCACGUAGGCGGUUGAGGUAAGUCUCAUGGUGAAAGGCCGGGGCUCAACCCCGUGCUGGCCAGGGAUACUGCUCGACUGGAGACAGGGAGAGGCCAGUGGAAUUCCGGGUGUAGCGGUGGAAUGCGUAGAGAUCCGGAAGAACACCGGAGGCGAAGGCGGCUGGCUGGCCCUGAUCUGACGCUGAGGUGCGAAAGCGUGGGGAG